AUAUAAUUGGACUUAUACAUGUUUUACCUUUCUUCAGGGUUUUAUGGAUCAGAGCACUGCUGUAAUCCCUCUUCUCCGGUCGCUGUCAUCGUGUUCCUCGCUGCUUCUUUCUGCUCUGCUUCGCGGUGUUCAUCUGCUCACGCCGUUCUGAAACUUCUGCUCUGGUUGGCGUUCUGAAACCUUUGCUCUGCUCCGCCGUGGUGCCGUGCUCUGUCCUUUCAGGCAAAUCGACAACUCUCCGCCGUUCACCUCUUUCUCUCAAGCCUCUCGCAUCAUACUCGAUCCUUAGAGGUACAUAAAGCAGAACAAUGACGUUGCUCUCUGUGCACCCGGGAUGGGUUUGGGAUAAUCCUUGUUGACUGAAAGUUGCUAGAGAUAGAGCUAAGUACAGCAAAGAGGAACAUGGUGGGAGUUUAUAACGAUAUUCAUUGUUCAAGACAUCAGUCAUCGAAAAUGAAAAAAUAGAAGCUAGGCAAAAAUGAAGGUGUACGAAAAAUGGAAUAAUUAGUUAUGCCCUUCUUGUAUUGCUGAGUCAUUAGGUUUGUAUUCAACUCUUUUUAAGUCAGAAUAUGUAUUUUGUUUAGAAGUUUUUUAUUAAAUCGGCUUGUCAUAUAUUGAUAUUUGAACUAAAAAUCUUUAUACAAUAUGUAUAAUGUUUUUGAAAUUUUAACAUGAUAAAAUUUAUUAGUUAUCUUUUUUUGUGUA